GACGAACGCUGGCGGCGUGCUUAACACAUGCAAGUCGAACGGAAAGGCCCCUUUGGGGGUACUCGAGUGGCGAACGGGUGAGUAACACGUGAGUAACCUUCCCUUGACUUCGGGAUAACUUCAGGAAACUGGGGCUAAUACCGGAUAGGAAUCCUUGCUGCAUGGUGGGGGUUGGAAAGCUUCGGCGGUUUUGGAUGGACUCGCGGCUUAUCAGCUUGUUGGUGGGGUAGUGGCUUACCAAGGCUUUGACGGGUAGCCGGCCUGAGAGGGCGACCGGCCACCUUGGGACUGAGAUACGGCCCAGACUCCUACGGGAGGCAGCAGUGGGGAAUAUUGCACAAUGGGCGGAAGCCUGAUGCAGCAGCGCCGCGUGCGGGAUGACGGCCUUCGGGUUGUAAACCGCUUUCAGCAGGGGCGAAGCUUGUGGUGACGGUACCUGCAGAAGAAGCACCGGCUAACUACGUG
rnacentral:rRNA from 1 species